AAAGAGUUCUAUAACUCCCAAACCCAUGUGAACAUACCUAACGUUGCCUCGGCAGGUCGCGCCUACCUCGUAGCCCCCUACCCUGUAGGGCCUACCCGGGAGACGCGGGUAAGCCUGCCGGCGGCCCACCAAACUCUGUUUGAUAUUGAAUUCUGAACCUAUAACUAAAUAAGUUAAAACUUUCAACAACGGAUCUCUUGGUUCUGGCAUCGAUGAAGAACGCAGCGAAAUGCGAUAAGUAAUGUGAAUUGCAGAAUUCAGUGAAUCAUCGAAUCUUUGAACGCAUAUUGCGCCCAUUAGUAUUCUAGUGGGCAGGACCGUUCGAGCGUCAUUUCGACCCUUAAGCCUUAGUUGCUUAGUGUUGGGAGCCUACGGUAACGUAGCUCCUCAAAGUUAGUGGCGGAGUUGGUUCACACUCUAGACGUAGUAAUUUUUUAUCUCGCCUAUCAGUUGGACCGAUCCCCUGCCAUAAAACCCCCAACUUCUCAAGGUUGACCUCGAAUCGGUUCAGACAAACUCGCUAAAUUGAAGCAUCUUAGUCAGCGAAGGAAAAGAAACCAACAGGGAUUGCCCUAGUAACGGCGAGUGAAGCGGCAACAGCUCAAAUUUGAAAUC
rnacentral:rRNA from 1 species